rnacentral:rRNA from 1 species
UAAUGAUUAAUAAGGGACAGUCGGGGGCAUCAGUAUUCAAUUGUCAGAGGUGAAAUUCUUGGAUUUAUUGAAGACUAACUACUGCGAAAGCAUUUGCCAAGGAUGUUUUCAUUAAUCAGGAACGAAAGUUAGGGGAUCGAAGACGAUCAGAUACCGUCGUAGUCUUAACCAUAAACUAUGCCGACUAGGGAUCGGACGAUGUUAUAUUUUGACUCGUUCGGCACCUUACGAGAAAUCAAAGUGCUUGGGCUCCAGGGGGAGUAUGGUCGCAAGGCUGAAACUUAAAGAAAUUGACGGAAGGGCACCACCAGGGGUAAACCACUCUCGGUUUCUCGAAGCCGCAGUUAACUCUGCUCCUAAAAGCCGCCCGAAAGGGUUAAUGGUGUCCCUUGGCCUCCCAGGCCUAAAUUAAUGGCUAGUCUCCUAGCGAGGCGACAUCCUCAAACUGCGGGAAACUCCUAAAGCUCACACUACCAAGCAGCCCCCGAAAGGGGAGGCUGUGGCCGGGGUAAUGACCUAGGGUAUGGUAAAAACGUGCUGAGAUGCUACAGUGGACGAUCCGCAGCCAAGCCCCUACGUGCGCAAGCAUACGGGGAAGGUUCAGAGACUUGACGGGGGUGGGUGGGCCUCAGUGGCCUGCCUAAGAUAAAGUCCGGCCCUGCGUGAAAGC